GACGAACGCUGGCGGCGUGCUUAACACAUGCAAGUCGAACGGAACUCUUUGGAUCGAGACUUCGGUCAAGUGAAUCUGAGUUUAGUGGCGGACGGGUGAGUAACGCGUGAGGAACCUGCCUUUCAGAGGGGGACAACAGUUGGAAACGACUGCUAAUACCGCAUAACGCAUAUUGAUCGCAUGGUCGAUAUGCCAAAGAUUUAUCGCUGAAAGAUGGCCUCGCGUCUGAUUAGCUAGUUGGUGAGGUAACGGCCCACCAAGGCGACGAUCAGUAGCCGGACUGAGAGGUUGACCGGCCACAUUGGGACUGAGAUACGGCCCAGACUCCUACGGGAGGCAGCAGUGGGGAAUAUUGCACAAUGGGGGAAACCCUGAUGCAGCGACGCCGCGUGAGUGAAGAAGUAUUUCGGUAUGUAAAGCUCUAUCAGCAGGGAAGAAAAAUGACGGUAACCUGGACUAAGGAAAGCCCCCGGGCUAAACUAACGUGCCAGCAGCCG
rnacentral:rRNA from 1 species